rnacentral:rRNA from 1 species
CCUACGGGAGGCAGCAGUGGGGAAUUUUGCGCAAUGGGGGAAACCCUGACGCAGCGACGCCGCGUGGAGGAUGACGGCCUUCGGGUUGUAAACUCCUGUCAGAGGGGACGAAAUCCCGCAAGGGACUGACGGUACCCUCAGAGGAAGCCCCGGCUAACUACGUGCCAGCAGCCGCGGUAAUACGUAGGGGGCAAGCGUUACUCGGAAUUACUGGGCGUAAAGGGUGAGUAGGCGGCUGGGCAAGUCAAGGAUGAAAUCCCGAGGCUCAACUUCGGAACUGUCCUUGAAACUGCUCAGCUUGAGGGUAGUUGAGGAGAGCGGAAUUCCCGGUGGAGCGGUGAAAUGCGUAGAUAUCGGGAGGAACACCUGAGGCGAAGGCGGCUCUCUAAGCUACCCCUGACGCUGAAUCACGAAAGCUAGGGGAGCAAACG